GCCAGACUCCUACGGGAGGCAGCAGUGGGGAAUAUUGGGCAAUGGGCGCAAGCCUGACCCAGCAACGCCGCGUGAAGGAAGAAGGCCUUCGGGUUGUAAACUUCUUUUGUCAGGGACGAAGCAAGUGACGGUACCUGACGAAUAAGCCACGGCUAACUACGUGCCAGCAGUCGCGGUAAUACGUAGGUGGCAAGCGUUAUCCGGAUUUAUUGGGUGUAAAGGGCGUGUAGGCGGGAAUGCAAGUCAGAUGUGAAAACUAUGGGCUCAACCCAUAGCCUGCACUUGAAACUGUAUUUCUUGAGUGCUGGAGAGGCAAUCGGAAUUCCGUGUGUAGCGGUGAAAUGCGUAGAUAUACGGAGGAACACCAGUGGCGAAGGCGGAUUGCUGGACAGUAACUGACGCUGAGGCGCGAAAGCGUGGGGAGCAAACAGGAUUAGAUACCCGGGUAGUG
rnacentral:rRNA from 1 species